AACGAACGCUGGCGGCAGGCUUAACACAUGCAAGUCGAGCGCCCCGCAAGGGGAGCGGCAGACGGGUGAGUAACGCGUGGGAAUCUACCCAUCACUACGGAACAACUCCGGGAAACUGGAGCUAAUACCGUAUACGUCCUUCGGGAGAAGGAUUUAUCGGUGAUGGAUGAGCCCGCGUUGGAUUAGCUAGUUGGUGGGGUAAUGGCCUACCAAGGCGACGAUCCAUAGCUGGUCUGAGAGGAUGAUCAGCCACACUGGGACUGAGACACGGCCCAGACUCCUACGGGAGGCAGCAGUGGGGAAUAUUGGACAAUGGGCGAAAGCCUGAUCCAGCCAUGCCGCGUGAGUGAUGAAGGCCCUAGGGUUGUAAAGCUCUUUCAACGGUGAAGAUAAUGACGGUAACCGUAGAAGAAGCCCCGGCUAACUUCGUGCCAGCAGCCGCAGUAAUAC
rnacentral:rRNA from 1 species